GUUCAGUUCAUGCCUGCCCCCUUCACCUCUGCCAAGAGCCGCCCCUUGUCCAGCCCUCGUGCCCUGACGAUCACUUUAAACCUUGGUCGGACCAGGUCGUGACAGACCUCAUGGAGAGGAAUUCGAUAUCGCUUCGCUGAUUGUUCAGAAUUGUAUAGAGAAGCUCUUGUCGAUCAAUUUCGAGAAGGGCUUUGAUGUUCCUGAACCUUUCCUAUAGUCAUGCAGAGGAGACAACUGAUGGGAAUAGCAACGAAUCGGCUGUGGCAGGAUUGCGCAGAAGCAGCUUUUACAGCGGAUCUUCACGAACUACCCGUGUCCCGCUGGAUAUGAUUCCUAGAUCAGGCACGGUCAUUCGAAACCAGGCCUUCACUGGUGAGACUCAAGUCUCUGGGAUAUCUGGGCUUGAACUUCAAUGCAUUUGAUGGCAAUGUCCUUCCUGAAUUUCUUCGAUGCUCGGUGAAUAUGGAGCGUAUAGCAGGGCAACUGCUCAAAAUCUAGGAAACUUGUCGAGCUUGGUUUUGAUAUCUUGAUCUUUCAUGGGAAUUCCACAGUUUUAAGUGUAGUGUGGAUAGUCGCUCUCGUAUCUUUGAAGUAUCUUACUCUACGUAAUGUGGACCUCUCUUUGACUGGGUUGAAUCAAAGUACAAGAUCGGCUUAAACAUCUCUGACUGAGCUGCAUCCCUCUUUUCGGGGCCUAUUGGCUUUAGUACCAUUGCCUAGGUUCUUGAACUUAACUUCGCUCACCAUAACAAAUCUCAGCUUCAGUGCUCUCGACUCGGCGUUCCCAAGGUGGUUGGUGAAACAGCUUUGUUGGCAUUGACAUGAGUAAUGGUAAUGGGCAAUACGGACGCUGCAGCUAUAUUUAGGACAGCUUCCUGAGUUGGUGGACUUAGGAUGUGUGUAGUAAUUGUCCAUCUGGAAUGCUAUCGGUACGAAAACUUUGCAAGGAUCAGCAAACGAUGAGUAACUGAGUUUGCAGAACAGAACAGAUCAAAAGUAGGAGGUAUUGAACUUCAGUUUAUUAUUUCAAUUACUGCAUUUCAGUGUCUUUCUUAGCAAGGCAACAAAAUGACUGUCCUGAUCUAUAGAGCCACUCGUUCCCGACAUCUACACACCUGAAAGGCUAAGAAAUUCCACUUGCUUGUGUUCAUACGUGUAGCACAAACUAGGUAUGAAGACGAAGCUAUUUCUAAUUAGUAACAAAUAUGCUUGUAUACACCUGCAUGUUUCUGCAGUUUAUUCCCCCUUUCUGUAUUCCUGUAUACGACUUCAGCAAAAUGGUGUGUUGGUAUAGCUUGACGUCACACUUCCCUUUGUCAAAGUCUAAGUAGUUGUAACGGCAUCCUUUGGAUGUACAAGCUUCUAAAGACUGAAAAAAGAAGAUGAAUGCUGUGCUGUUGCGUAUCGCUUAUUCUGAGCACUACGGAAAUUGCUUAAUUUCAGCUAUAAACUGCAUCGAUUUAGAGGUUCUGUGCCUAUGAAGUCCUUGUUGCUUGGACCAAAGAAAUUUGAGCCGGGUUGCCACCCCAUUCUUC